UUGAUCCUGGCUCAGGACGAACGCUGGCGGCGUGCCUAAUACAUGCAAGUCGAGCGGACCUUUCGGGGUCAGCGGCGGACGGGUGAGUAACACGUGGGCAAUCUGCCCGAUACUCUGGGAUAACGCUUGGAAACGAGUGCUAAUACCGGAUGGUCUUCUUGGCCGCAUGGCCGAAAAGGAAAAGACGCGUUCGCGUCGGUGUCGGAUGAGCCCGCGGCGCAUUAGCUAGUUGGUGAGGUAACGGCCCACCAAGGCGACGAUGCGUAGCCGACCUGAGAGGGUGACCGGCCACACUGGGACUGAGACACGGCCCAGACUCCUACGGGAGGCAGCAGUAGGGAAUCUCCCACAAUGGGCGAAAGCCUGAUGGAGCAACGCCGCGUGAGUGAUGAAGGCCUUCGGGUUGUAAAACUCUGUCAUUCGGGACGAACCGGAGUCUGAGGAAAUGCAGACUCUCUGACGGUACCGGAGGAGGAAGCCCCGGCUAACUACGUGCCAGCAGCCGCGGUAAUACGUAGGGGGCAAGCGUUGUCCGGAUUCACUGGGCGUAAAGCGCGCGCAGGCGGUGAUGUAAGUCUGAGGUGAAAACCCGAAGCUCAACUUCGGGACUGCCUUGGAUACUGCGUCACUUGAGGAUAGGAGAGGCAAGGGGAAUUCCACGUGUAGCGGUGAAAUGCGUAGAGAUGUGGAGGAACACCUGUGGCGAAGGCGCCUUGCUGGCCUAUUUCUGACGCUGAGGCGCGAAAGCGUGGGGAGCAAACAGG
rnacentral:rRNA from 1 species